rnacentral:lncRNA from 1 species
GACAAUAGUUGCAAUAGUCCUGAGAAUGACUGCACAUGUAAGGAUUGUGAUAUUGCUCACCUUUUUAUAUGUUCCUGUAAAAACUCCAUCAGUCAAUGAAGAUCCAGGAUUCACCAUUACUUGUACAAAUCGCAAAGGUGAAGUCAUAUACCGUAAAAAGGACUGGACUACAGCUUUUUCAGCAGGCAAUGCUAAAUGUACAAAGCGAGCAAAAGGCAAAGAAUUUCAGUGCCUAGAGGUAGACAGCGCCAUCAACAACACUUCAUUAUGUUCCUCAAAUACAGAGUGUUGAUUCAAUGAUAUGUUUGAAGAGGAAGAAUAUGUGAAAUGCAUUAUUCAGAAAAAUUGUGUGCUGCUAUACCAGAAGAUGGAAAGAUUGACAUCCUCAAACAUCUAAGGAGUAUUCACUAGUAACUUAAUAGAAUCAAAUGGAAGCAAGCCCCCCUAAUGAUUGCAUCCAACUAUAACAAACCAUGGCAGGCAGCAAAAACCAUAUUGUCUGUGACGACAAGCCUUUCAGUUGUCUGUGACGACUGAAAGAAGGAAAAAAAUCCCACUUAACAUGCAGAAGAUAACACAACAAUAAGAGACAACCUUUUAAUAAAUUCAGAAUUUGGAUGACUGUGAUUUUUUUAAAAAGUAUUACUUUUUAAAGCAGUGUUUUGUAUUUUGUAGAAUCUGUAAGGUCAAUAAGACUUUUAUUUUGUUGUUAAAAGACAAGCUUUAUCAUUUUGUUAUAAGACACUUUAUCAUUUUGUUCAGUUGCUUAGCUACCAGGUUUAGGGUAAUUUCGAAUGGAAGUCUUAGGAAG